rnacentral:rRNA from 1 species
CCUACGGGAGGCAGCAGUGAGGAAUAUUGGUCAAUGGGCGGAAGCCUGAACCAUCGACGUCGCGUGAGUGAAGAAGUAUCUAGGGAUUGUAAGCUUCUUUUAUAGGGGAAUAAAGUUCUGCACGUGUCGAUAUUUGCAUGUACCCUAUGAAUAAUGCUCGGCUAAAUCCGUGCCAGCCGCCGCGGUAAUCCGGAGGAUGCGAGCGUUAUCCGGAUUUAUUGGGUGUAACGGGAUCGUAGGUGGUUCUUUAAGUCAGCGGUGAAAGGUUGGGGCUCAACCCUAAAAGUGCAGUUGAAACUGGAAGACUUGAGUACAGUAGAGGUAGGCGGAAUGCGUGGUGUAGCGGUGAAAUGCAUAGAUAUCACGCAGAACUCCGAUUGCGAAGGCAGCUUACUGGACUAUAACUGACGCUGAGGCACGAAAGCGUGGGGAUCAAACAGGAUUAGAUACCCGUGUAGUC